rnacentral:rRNA from 1 species
CAGCAGCCGCGGUAAUACGAAGGGUGCAAGCGUUACUCGGAAUUACUGGGCGUAAAGCGUGCGUAGGUGGUGGUUUAAGUCCGUUGUGAAAGCCCUGGGCUCAACCUGGGAAUUGCAGUGGAUACUGGGUCACUAGAGUGUGGUAGAGGAUAGUGGAAUUUCCGGUGUAGCAGUGAAAUGCGUAGAGAUCGGAAGGAACAUCUGUGGCGAAGGCGACUAUCUGGGCCAACACUGACACUGAGACACGAAAGCGUGGGGAGCAAACAGGAUUAGAUACCCGCGUAGUCCCUGUCUCUUAUAC